GCAAUUUGCAGUGGUUAGAAAUGACAAAGGAUGGGUGGUAGGAUCCAGAGAAAAAACAGUGAAACCCGAUGGACCUUAAAUAGAUCUGAGGGCACUGAUUUGAUUAUUUUGGGUGAAAUCUUUUAAGAAAAUCUUGUCAGAUUCUUCACAGAAAAUUUGGUAAAGCCUAUAUUUCAUCGCCAGCCUAGCAAAGGCAAGCUGGCAAACAGGGAAACAAGGAGAACUGUGUGCUCAGCCCUCCAGAGUGGCACGGAUUAUGAGGAGGUGAUGGUCCUUCCCCGCCAAGAUCCUGAGACACUGUCACUCCGGAAUCCAAAAAGAGAUUCAGUUCACCUUGUGCCCAACCUUCUGUCUCCCUGAGUCAGACCUGCAGACGAUUGCAUGCCACCAGCUGUCUUCACUCCUGAGAACAUGACACAAAGGAAUGCUCCCUGUCAAGUUCUUCAUUAUCCUUCUGAUGAAUUUCCCCUGGUUUAAACAAGUUGGUGGUAGACAGACCUUUCUCGCAUUUUCACAGACGUGCCAGGAGGAAACCCAGCGUCUCUCAGUUUCCUUUAAAUAUAUGAGAUACCAUGAAAGGAUUUGAGCGUUUUUUUAUGUGAAUCCAAAGAUGACAUUUACAAAAGGUGGAGAAGCAGUUCCCUACUGAGGGACGUGGAUACAAAAAGCAGAUGACACAACACAUCCCAUAGAGUUCCCAGGGAAGAAUGAACCCAGAUUCUUGACCUGCAGAGGUGGCGUACUGGCUGGAGAAAUCUCUGGCUGGCGACCGUGCUAUUCUGUCUGUCCACCUAACUGUGGGCUCCCAGAUCACCACUGCCAUGGGCAGGGGGCCGUGGGGUGGGCCUGCUUGGGGUGACAGGCUAGCUGUGCUCCCAUAGCAGAGGUGGGAGAAGGGAAUCACAUCUGGUGAGCAGCUAUGUCGUGCCAGGCACUGUGCUGUGUAUUGCACACAUCUCAAACCUUGUGACAAAUGUGUAAGAUAUUUUUUAUGUAUUACAAAUGAAGGAACUGGGCUCAGAAAAGCUCCAUUAUUUGCCCAAAUUGCAGCAGUAAUGCAGGAAUUUGAAUCCACAUUAAUCUGACUCCACAACCCAUGUUCUUUCACUGAAUUCCCAUAUCCUUGUUCCCCCUACUGUCCUCACUGGUCAAGGUGAGCUUGGUCUUCCACAAACAGGCUAGAAAAGUAUGCUUACUUAUCUUUAGCUUUAUGCUUUUAAACUAAUUCUUAAAAAUCUUCUCUGGAUAAGUCAAAGACAAUGGGAAUGUGUAUUUCUAAUACAUUAAUUAUAAUACAUUACCGGUUUACACAAUGCCAUCACCUUGUCAUUUUCUUUGACACAACGUCCCCCUCCCCUCUAGUUUAUAAAUGAG
rnacentral:lncRNA from 1 species